GAUUGGAUAGCCCAAGUCAGUAGGGCACAAGACUCUUAAUUUCAGGGUCGUGGGUUCGAGACCCACGCUGGGCA